UUGCGCUCGAGGCUUCGGC
rnacentral:misc_RNA from 1 species